rnacentral:lncRNA from 1 species
AGUCGUCGGCUGAUUUCUCAUUACGAUAAUUUGCAGAGUAUUUGAUUGAGAUAAUCAAAGUAGGAUUAGCAGAGAGAGAGAGAGAGAGUGAGCGAGAAGCUGCAGUUUGCAGGCACGUUAUUUCCCGGGUGAAAUGGCGUCGAAAUUGUAAAUUUCUUUUCUAGAUUUUUGUUUCAGUUUGCCAUGCUUUAGUUUGCAUUCAAUCAAUCAAUCAAUCUUGUGAAGGCCCCC